GAGGCAGGGUGCGAUUCCCGACCGGCGGUAAAUGCAAGCUUGCAUAAGUCCGCGACCCGCAUAAAGUGCGGCUGAUCCGGUGCGAUUCCGGAACCGACGGUACAGUCCGGAUGAAAGAAGGAG
rnacentral:ncRNA from 1 species